UACAGAGGUCCCAAGCGUUGUUCGGAUUCAUUGGGCGUAAAGGGUGCGUAGGCGGCGCGGUAAGUCGGGUGUGAAAUCUCGGAGCUUAACUCCGAAACUGCAUUCGAUACUACCGUGCUUGAGGACUGGAGAGGAGACUGGAAUUUACGGUGUAGCGGUGAAAUGCGUAGAUAUCGUAAGGAAGACCAGUGGCGAAGGCGGGUCUCCUGGACAGUUCCUGACGCUGAGGCACGAAGGUCAGGGGAGCAAACGGG
rnacentral:rRNA from 1 species